GAUGAACGCUAGCGGGAGGCCUAACACAUGCAAGCCGAGCGGUAUUGUUUCUUCGGAAAUGAGAGAGCGGCGUACGGGUGCGUAACACGUGUGCAACCUGCCUUUAUCUGGGGGAUAGCCUUUCGAAAGGAAGAUUAAUACUCCAUAAUAUAUUGAACGGCAUCGUUUAAUAUUGAAAGCUCCGGCGGAUAGAGAUGGGCACGCGCAAGAUUAGCUAGUCGGUGAGGUAACGGCUCACCAAGGCGAUGAUCUUUAGGGGGCCUGAGAGGGUGAUCCCCCACACUGGUACUGAGACACGGACCAGACUCCUACGGGAGGCAGCAGUGAGGAAUAUUGGUCAAUGGGUGCAAGCCUGAACCAGCCAUCCCGCGUGAAGGACGACUGCCCUAUGGGUUGUAAACUUCUUUUGUAUAGGGAUAAACCUACCCUCGUGAGGGUAGCUGAAGGUACUAUACGAAUAAGCACCGGCUAACUCCGUGCCAGCAGCCGCAGUAAGAC
rnacentral:rRNA from 1 species